rnacentral:lncRNA from 1 species
GGAAGACUUCAAUAGGAGGCGCCGUUUCUCGGGAGGACCAGUGGGAAAGCGUCAGGUCAUCGAGGUGACAGCAGCAGUCUCACAAUGCCCAGCCUUUGCGCUCUCCAUCAGAAAGCCAUCAGGGGCAAACCACUUAUGUUUGCCUUCAGACAAGUGGUUGAUGUCAUGUUCAACGCUGUUGUGAAGACAACAUUGAAGCAAGAUUCCAGCAUAGCCAUGCGCUGCACACUCAGACAAUGGAGUCCCUGUUCCUCGUGGUUAACCGUGAAUAGUAUUCGCGCUUUUAUGAAAGUCAAAGGUGAUUUGCUGCAUAAAUUAACAUGUUUGCAGCUCAAACGUACACACAUUAUUUCUAAUUUUGAAACAACGAAUAUACCCUGUUAAAUAUUAUUCUACUGUUUGAUGCAAUCAUUUCUUGCUGGAGAAUAUUAAGUGUGAUGUUGAACUUGUACUUAUUGAUGACUGGCUAUUGCAUGACUGCCUGUGUUUAAUAAAAUGUGAACUCACGCAUUUGAAGCUUCAUUCAGUAACCAGAGUAUUGUAUGGCUGAUUUAAUAAACAUUGUUUGCUCAUUUAUGUACUCAGAUGCUACAAGCCAUAAUCUUGCAUUACCGCACCAACUACAAAUAAUUUAAAAAUUGGCAAUGUAUUUUAACUCGCUUCAUCCACCUGUUGUAGCCAGCAGAGUACAUUAAUGAACAAUGGUUUUUUGUUUUUAUAGGGUCCCCAUUGAUACUUCUCUUUCCACCUAAACAGUAGUAAAUGUGGAAUAUUUCGGCUUUUGUUUUGCAGUAGAAAACGAGCGCCUUUUCAAGCGACAGAUUUUAUAACAGACCAUGUAGUGCCUUCAAAUUACAAACAUUUAAGGAAACUAGAAUUGUUAUUGAAAAAUCUGCUACACACCACUUUUAGCCCAGAGAAGUCUCCCUAUUCUCGUAAGAAAAAAAAAUAGGUGCAAAAAAUUCAGAAGUUCAUAACAAUAAUCGCGCAAACCUUAUUUAAAGCAAGUUCAUGUGUGGAAAAUAUUGUUUCAGUCUAUCAAAAAUAUUGGCGAGUCAAGCUUUACAUCGAAUUUCCAAAUGAACUUUUGAGAAUGCUUUGCUAUGACAUUGGUGUACAAA